rnacentral:rRNA from 1 species
AUACGUAGGGGGCGAGCGUUGUCCGGAAUGAUUGGGCGUAAAGGGCGCGUAGGCGGCGCGGUAAGUCUGGAGUGAAAGUCCUGCUUUCAAGGUGGGAAUUGCUUUGGAUACUGAUGGGCUUGAGUGCAGGAGAGGUUAUCGGAAUUCCCGGUGUAGCGGUGAAAUGCGUAGAGAUCGGGAGGAACACCAGUGGCGAAGGCGGGUAACUGGACUGCAACUGACGCUGAGGCGCGAAAGUGUGGGGAGCAAACAGGAUUAGAUACCCUGGUAGUCCACACUGUAAACGAUGAAUGCUAGGUGUAAGAGGUAUCGACCCCUUUUGUGCCGGAGUUAACACAAUAAGCAUUCCGCCUGGGGAGUACGGCCGCAAGGUUGAAACUUAAAUGAAUUGGCGGGG